CUCAGCUGCGUGCAAUAUACCUGAGUAACUGGAAGGGUUGGAGCCAAGAUCUGACCCUUCCCAGACUCCAUUUAAGGGUUGGUAGUGGAGGUGAGGGUGGGUCAUCUGGAGAUCCCUGCUAGCCUGAGGAUCUUAUAGGCCUUCUGAAGAAAUACUGUUGCUGGCUCAGGCUUCUUGAGAAAAAGAGAUGGGGAUACCUUGUACAUCAGUGAAGACGACAUCUGCCUUUUAGGUCACCGGAUUAUUUUCAUGCUCAACUUCUUGAUGUACAAAGCAAUUUGAACAUAACAGACAUGAGGACUUUUUGUUCUACUGCUGCCAGAAAUCCCCAGAUGUAGGAGGAAGGAGAAAGUCCCAGUAGUAUCCCAUGACUUUGUGUAUUUUCUAUUACUCAGAGAACCUGCCACGCAUAUCAUAAUUAGAACUUUGUGCUUGAGGUCAUUCUGGUUCAGUGAAUUUAUACCUGAGCUGAUGCUUUCAGUUACGGACUGUUCUGUGUGUUCAGACAGGCUCAGAUAGGCCAAAAUGGCUCAGUGGUUCAACGUACCUGUCAGCCUCCUCCACCUAUUAAACUUUUUUUCAUGUUUUGAGAAAUUUUUAAAAGAGAACAGAGAUUGUCCCAGCUUCUUGAGUGAAUGAAAGGAUUUUGUUUUAAAAAGCAAACAAACCCACAGAAAACAAAGGAAAAACUCAACCCACAAAACA
ensembl:lncRNA